rnacentral:rRNA from 1 species
CACGUAGGGUGCGAGCGUUGUCCGGAAUUAUUGGGCGUAAAGAGCGCGUAGGCGGCCAGAUAAGUCCGGUGUGAAAGUCAAAGGCUCAACCUUUGAAUGCCGCUGGAAACUGUCUGGCUAGAGUCCGGGAGGGGCGAGUGGAAUUCCUGGUGUAGCGGUGAAAUGCGUAGAUAUCUGGAGGAACACCGGUGGCGAAGGCGGCAUCCUGGACCACGACUGACGCUGAGUGAGCGAAAGCCAGGGGAGCAAACAGG